GAUUAGCCUGUUGGUGAGGUAAUGGCUCACCAAGGCGACGAUCAGUAUCUGGUUUGAGAGGACGAUCAGACACACUGGAACUGAGACACGGUCCAGACUCCUACGGGAGGCAGCAGUGGGGAAUUUUGGACAAUGGGGGAAACCCUGAUCCAGCCAUCCCGCGUGUGCGAUGAAGGCCUUCGGGUUGUAAAGCACUUUUGGCAGGAAAGAAACGUCAUGGGUUAAUACCCCGUGAAACUGACGGUACCUGCAGAAUAAGCACCGGCUAACUACGUGCCAGCAGCCGCGGUAAUACGUAGGGUGCAAGCGUUAAUCGGAAUUACUGGGCGUAAAGCGUGCGCAGGCGGUUCGGAAAGAAGGAUGUGAAAUCCCAGAGCUUAACUUUGGAACUGCAUUUUUAACUACCGGGCUAGAGUGUGUCAGAGGGAGGUGGAAUUCCGCGUGUAGCAGUGAAAUGCGUAGAUAUGCGGAGGAACACCGAUGGCGAAGGCAGCCUCCUGGGAUAACACUGACGCUCAUGCACGAAAGCGUGGGGAGCAA
rnacentral:rRNA from 1 species